rnacentral:lncRNA from 1 species
AUGAUGUAUUCUUCAUGUUCUACAGUGAACUGGAGGAGGAUGUCCCUCUUGGCUGCUGAGAUUCCCUCAAUAUUGAAGUGCACCAUCUUGAGAGCUGACCUCAACACAAGAUUGUCAAGACGUUGGGGCUUAUGGAGGACGACAACAAGUUGCUCAAGAAAAGGAAAAUAAACUUCUGGCUGUAGCCUAAGUAAAUGGGUUCUGCUCGUGGGAACUAUGCAAGAGUUUGGGGGAUGAAAUCCUUCAACUUGGGGACAGGCUGAGAAACUGCAGUGCAACCCCUCUGCUACCAUUACUGCAGCUUCAUCACAGCAGUGGUGUCUGAGGCCCUUUGAUAAGCCCUGUGUUUGGCUUCAAGUCAGUAGAUCUGCAUGUUAUGGAGCCACUGUAUAAAACUAUCUUCUAAAUAGCUUAGGCUUGCUGUGGAUCGGACUGUUGAGCUGUACUCACGCAGAAGAUAUGUUGUCCUCCUGCAGAGCUUCUCUGUGUUUUUCCCUUCUAUUGUAGUAGAACUGAAUUGGUUCUGUUGAGAGUGGGGCAUCUGUCACUCCUUACAUCGUGUCCUGGAGGAUUUGCCCUUUCAAUCACAUGGUCCAAAGUCAACUGAAGUCACCAGAAAGAUUCACAUUGAGUUCAGUGGUUUUUGGAUCAGGCCCUGAUAAACAAUAAAGUAGGAAAGAAAGAAAAAGAAAUCCCUUCU